rnacentral:rRNA from 1 species
UACGUCGGGGGCAAGCGUUGUUCGGAAUUACUGGGCGUAAAGGGCGCGUAGGCGGCCAACUAAGUCGGAUGUGAAAUCCCCAGGCUUAACCUGGGAACUGCAUCCGAUACUGGAUGGCUUGAAUUCGGGAGAGGGAUGCAGAAUUCCAGGUGUAGCGGUGAAAUGCGUAGAUAUCUGGAGGAAUACCGGUGGCGAAGGCGGCAUCCUGGACCGACAUUGACGCUGAUGAGCGAAAGCUAGGGGAGCAAACGGG